CAGGAAGCCUCACAGGAACCCCACUGGGGCCAAUAGGCUUACAAAGUCUUUUCAGCCAGACCUUUUCCUGUGAUCAUUAUAGAAAUGUGGUGUGACAAGAGUUGUCUGUCUUCUCUCUUUGCUGGAAAGUAGACCUGUGGCCGGCUGAACCCAGGGCAUUGUCUGAAAAGUAGCUUCAGGGGGGACCAAUCUUCA